UAAAACAAACUGCCUAAUUCCUUGUACUGGAAACGGGGGAACCACCCCUGGGUGAAUUGACUUCGACGUCCGAAUGAUUGUAUCGGCGCCCGAGAAGUCAUAGGGAUCCUUCAACCGAACCCCACAGCUAACCUCGUCGGCAUUGGAAGGAGCUUUA
rnacentral:sRNA from 2 species